AUUUCCUGAAUGCUUUCCCAUUCACAUCUCAUUUGACCCAUAAGCAAAUAUGUGAGGUGCUAUCACUGGUGAGGUACAUAGGGAUCCCGCACUCAGAGACAUCUCAAGUCCUGCCUAAGGUGCCCAGCCAGAGCUCGAGCACAGCCCUUUCCUCGGCAGGACAGUUGCUGCUGCAUCCCAGGCAUCUGUGACAUCCACCGGCUCUUCCUUAACCAGACAUGCUAGGCCAGGACCCAUACCUGGAGCCAGGACUUCCAAGAAGCUCCCCUCCCUGUCUACCCUUAUGUCCUCUGCAGGAGGCCGUGAUGGUGUCAGUACCCUUUUCCAGCAUGGUCCAGGGUCAAGGCACUUUCCA
rnacentral:lncRNA from 1 species